AAAUUGAAGAGUUUGAUCAUGGCUCAGAUUGAACGCUGGCGGCAGGCCUAACACAUGCAAGUCGAGCGGUAACAUUUCAAAAGCUUGCUUUUGAAGAUGACGAGCGGCGGACGGGUGAGUAAUGCCUAGGAAAUUGCCCUGAUGUGGGGGAUAACCAUUGGAAACGAUGGCUAAUACCGCAUGAUGCCUAC
rnacentral:rRNA from 1 species